CACCAGACUCCUACGGGAGGCAGCAUUGAGGAAUAUUGGUCAAUGGGCGGAAUCCUGAACCAGCCAAUUCUCGUGAGGGAAUAAUUCCCUACGGUUCUUAAACCUCUUUUUCCUGGGAGCAAUGUCCUGGACGCGUCCCUUCCCGGAGAUUCCCCUGAGAAAAAUCAUCUGCUAACUCCUGUCCAGCAGCCUCUGUAAUACGGAGUAUGCUAGCGUUAUCCGGAUUUAUUGGGUUUAAAGGGUGCGUAGGCGGGAUUUUAAGUCAGAGGUAAAAAUUCGGGGAGAAACCCCGUCCGGCCGUUGAAACUGGGGGCCUUGAGUGGGCGAGAAGAAGGCGGAAUGCGUGGUGUAGCGGUGAAAUGCAUAGAUAUCAAGAAGAACCCCGAUUGCGAAGGCAGACUUACGGCGCCCUACUGACGCUGAGGCACGAAAGUGCGGGGAUCGAACAGGAUUAGAUACCCCGGUAGG
rnacentral:rRNA from 1 species